rnacentral:misc_RNA from 1 species
CUACGGAGUACAAUUUUACUUAUUACCUUUUAUAGACUAUUUUAAUUUUUAUUAAAAUGUACUUUAUUGUUAAUAGUCCAAUAGAUAUAUCUAGUUUUGAGAGAAUUUCUCUCAAUUGUUCUUUGAAAACUGAAUAGUAAAGAUAUUACAACGACAUCAAAAUAAAUGUCAAUUUGUUUUGAAACCGAGUGAAUUAUUUUAAUUAAUAAUUUAUUGAAAUGUCUUUGAAUACAUCAAACAAUUAGGUAAAUAUUGUUACAA